rnacentral:rRNA from 1 species
CCUACGGGAGGCAGCAGUGAGGAAUAUUGGUCAAUGGACGCAAGUCUGAACCAGCCAUGCCGCGUGCAGGAAGACGGCUCUAUGAGUUGUAAACUGCUUUUGUACGAGGGUAAACGCAGAUACGCGUAUCUGUCUGAAAGGAUCGUGCGAAUAAGGAUUGGCUUACUCCGUGCCAGCAGCCGCGGUAAAACGGAGGAUUCAAGCGUUAUCCGGGUUUUUUGGGUUUAAAGGGUGCGGAGGCGGUCUGGUAAGUUAGAGGUGAAAUCCCGAGGCUCAACUUCGGAACUGCCUCUGAUACUGUUCGGCUAGAGAGUAGUUGCGGUAGGCGGAAUGUAUGGUGUAGCGGUGAAAUGCUUAGAGAUCAUACAGAACCCCGAUUGCGAAGGCAGCAUACCAGGCUACUUCUGACGUUGAGGCACGAAAGCGUGGGGAGCAAACAGGAUUAGAUACCUGAGUAGUC